rnacentral:rRNA from 1 species
UACGUAGGGUGCAAGCGUUGUCCGGAAUUAUUGGGCGUAAAGAGCUCGUAGGCGGUUUGUCGCGUCUGCUGUGAAAACUCGGGGCUUAACCCCGGGCCUGCGGUCGAUACGGGCAGGCUCGAGUUCGGUAGGGGAGACUGGAAUUCCUGGUGUAGCGGUGAAAUGCGCAGAUAUCAGGAGGAACACCGGUGGCGAAGGCGGGUCUCUGGGCCGAUACUGACGCUGAGGAGCGAAAGCGUGGGGAGCGAACAGG